rnacentral:rRNA from 1 species
GGUUAAGUGACUAAGCGUACACGGUGGAUGCCUUGGCAGUCAGAGGCGAUGAAGGACGUAUUAACUUGCGAUAAGCCCAGAUUAGGUAGUAAAAACCAUUUGAGUCUGGGAUUUCCGAAUGGGGAAACCCACUAGCAUAAGCUAGUAUCGCUGCGUGAAUACAUAGCGCAGCGAGGCGAACCGGGGGAACUGAAACAUCUAAGUACCCCGAGGAAAAGAAAUCAACCGAGAUUCCGAAAGUAGCGGCGAGCGAAAUUGGACUAGCCCUUAAGCUUUUUAUGCGUCAGGUGAAACUUCUGGAAAGUUGUGCGAUACAGGGUGAUAGCCCCGUAACCGGCAACGCAUUUAAAGUGAAAUCGAGUAGGGCGGGACACGUGAUAUCCUGUCUGAAUAUGGGGGGACCAUCCUCCAAGGCUAAAUACUACUGACUGACCGAUAGUGAACCAGUACCGUGAGGGAAAGGCGAAAAGAACCCCUGUGAGGGGAGUGAAAUAGAACCUGAAACCGUGUACGUACAAGCAGUAGGAGCACCUUCGUGGUGUGACUGCGUACCUUUUGUAUAAUGGGUCAGCGACUUAUAUUCAGUGGCAAGGUUAACCAUCUAGGGGAGCCGUAGGGAAACCGAGUCUUAACUGGGCGUUCAGUCUCUGGAUAUAGACCCGAAACCAGGUGAUCUAGCCAUGGGCAGGUUGAAGGUUGAGUAACAUCAACUGGAGGACCGAACCGACUAAUGUUGAAAAAUUAGCGGAUGACUUGUGGCUAGGGGUGAAAGGCCAAUCAAACCUGGAGAUAGCUGGUUCUCCCCGAAAGCUAUUUAGGUAGCGCCUCGGACGAAUACUACUGGGGGUAGAGCACUGUUAAGGCUAGGGGGUCAUCCCGACUUACCAACCCUUUGCAAACUCCGAAUACCAGUAAGUACUAUCCGGGAGACACACGGCGGGUGCUAACGUCCGUCGUGGAGAGGGAAACAACCCAGACCGCCAGCUAAGGUCCCAAAUUACUACUAAGUGGGAAACGAUGUGGGAAGGCUCAGACAGCCAGGAUGUUGGCUUAGAAGCAGCCAUCAUUUAAAGAAAGCGUAAUAGCUCACUGGUCGAGUCGGCCUGCGCGGAAGAUGUAACGGGGCUAAGUAGUAAACCGAAGCUGCGGCAAUGCACUUUAGUGCAUUGGGUAGGGGAGCGUUCUGUAAGCGGUUGAAGGUGUGUGGUAACGCAUGCUGGACGUAUCAGAAGUGCGAAUGCUGACAUGAGUAACGAUAAAGGGGGUGAAAAACCUCCUCGCCGGAAGACCAAGGGUUCCUGUCCAACGUUAAUCGGGGCAGGGUAAGUCGACCCCUAAGGCGAGGCCGAAAGGCGUAGUCGAUGGGAAACGGGUUAAUAUUCCCGUACUUCUUACAAUUGCGAUGGGGGGACGGAGAAGGCUAGGUGGGCCUGGCGACGGUUGUCCAGGUUCAAGUGCGUAGGCUGAAAAGUUAGGUAAAUCCGGUUCUUCUUAAGGCUGAGACACGACGUCGAGCUACUACGGUAGUGAAGUCAUUGAUGCCAUGCUUCCAGGAAAAGCCUCUAAGCUUCAGAUUGUAAGGAAUCGUACCCCAAACCGACACAGGUGGUCGGGUAGAGAAUACCAAGGCGCUUGAGAGAACUCGGGUGAAGGAACUAGGCAAAAUGGUACCGUAACUUCGGGAGAAGGUACGCUCUCGACGGUGAAGUCCCUUGCGGAUGGAGCUAUUGAGAGUCGCAGAUACCAGGUGGCUGCAACUGUUUAUUAAAAACACAGCACUGUGCAAAAUCGUAAGAUGACGUAUACGGUGUGACGCCUGCCCGGUGCCGGAAGGUUAAUUGAUGGGGUUAGACUUCGGUCGAAGCUCUUGAUCGAAGCCCCGGUAAACGGCGGCCGUAACUAUAACGGUCCUAAGGUAGCGAAAUUCCUUGUCGGGUAAGUUCCGACCUGCACGAAUGGCGUAAUGAUGGCCACGCUGUCUCCACCCGAGACUCAGUGAAAUUGAAAUCGCUGUGAAGAUGCAGUGUACCCGCGGCUAGACGGAAAGACCCCGUGAACCUUUACUACAGCUUGGCACUGAACAUUGACCCUACAUGUGUAGGAUAGGUGGGAGGCUUUGAAACUAGUACGCCAGUAUUAGUGGAGCCGUCCUUGAAAUACCACCCUUGUAGUGUUGAUGUUCUAACGUCGACCCCUUAUCGGGGUUGCGGACAGUGCCUGGUGGGUAGUUUGACUGGGGCGGUCUCCUCCCAAAGCGUAACGGAGGAGCACGAAGGUGGGCUAAUCACGGUUGGACAUCGUGAGGUUAGUGCAAUGGCAUAAGCCCGCUUGACUGCGAGAAUGACAAUUCGAGCAGGUGCGAAAGCAGGUCAUAGUGAUCCGGUGGUUCUGAAUGGAAGGGCCAUCGCUCAACGGAUAAAAGGUACUCCGGGGAUAACAGGCUGAUACCGCCCAAGAGUUCAUAUCGACGGCGGUGUUUGGCACCUCGAUGUCGGCUCAUCACAUCCUGGGGCUGAAGUCGGUCCCAAGGGUAUGGCUGUUCGCCAUUUAAAGUGGUACGCGAGCUGGGUUUAGAACGUCGUGAGACAGUUCGGUCCCUAUCUGCCGUGGGCGUUGGAAGAUUGAAGGGGGCUGCUCCUAGUACGAGAGGACCGGAGUGGACGAACCUCUGGUGUUCGGGUUGUGUCGCCAGACGCAUUGCCCGGUAGCUAAGUUCGGAAUCGAUAACCGCUGAAAGCAUCUAAGCGGGAAGCGAGCCCUGAGAUGAGUCUUCCCUGAUACUUUAAGUAUCCUAAAGGGUUGUUCGAGACUAGAACGUUGAUAGGCAGGGUGUGUAAGCGUUGUGAGGCGUUGAGCUAACCUGUACUAAUUGCCCGUGAGGCUUAACCAU